rnacentral:rRNA from 1 species
CCUACGGGCGGCUGCAGUGAGGAAUAUUGGUCAAUGGACGCGAGUCUGAACCAGCCAAGUAGCGUGAAGGAUGACUGCCCUAUGGGUUGUAAACUUCUUUUAUAUGGGAAUAAAAUGUUCCACGUGUGGGAUUUUGUAUGUACCAUAUGAAUAAGGAUCGGCUAACUCCGUGCCAGCAGCCGCGGUAAUACGGAGGAUCCGAGCGUUAUCCGGAUUUAUUGGGUUUAAAGGGAGCGUAGGUGGAUUGUUAAGUCAGUUGUGAAAGUUUGCGGCUCAACCGUAAAAUUGCAGUUGAAACUGGCAGUCUUGAGUACAGUAGAGGUGGGCGGAAUUCGUGGUGUAGCGGUGAAAUGCUUAGAUAUCACGAAGAACUCCGAUUGCGAAGGCAGUUCACUGGACUGCAACUGACACUGAGGCUCGAAAGUGUGGGUAUCAAACAGGAUUAGAUACCCGUGUAGUC